rnacentral:tRNA from 1 species
GGGGGUAUCGCAUAGCGGCAAUUGCAAGAGACUGUAAAUCUCUCAGUCUUAGACUUACGUUGGUUCGAGUCCAACUGCCCCCA